UACGGGGGGGGCAAGCGUUGUUCGGAAUUACUGGGCGUAAAGGGUUCGUAGGUGGCUCGCUAAGUCAGACGUGAAAUCCCUCAGCUCAACUGGGGAACUGCGUCUGAGACUGGGGAGCUCGAGUGCAGGAGAGGAACGCGGAAUUCCUGGUGUAGCGGUGAAAUGCGCAGAUAUCAGGAAGAACACCCGUGGCGAAGGCGGCUCUCUGGGACGGUACUGACGCUGAGACGCGAAAGCGUGGGGAGCGAACAGG
rnacentral:rRNA from 1 species